UACGUAGGGUGCAAGCGUUAAUCGGAUUUAUUGGGCGUAAAGCGAACGCAGGUGGUUUGGUAAGUCAGGGGUGAAAGUCCGCAGCUUGACUGCGGCACUGCCUUUGAUACUGCCUUUCUUGAGUGCAUGAGGGGGAAGCGGAAUUCCGAGUGUAGAGGUGAAAUUCGUAGAUAUUCGGAGGAACACCGGUGGCGAAGGCGGCUUCCUGGCAUGUAACUGACACUCAUGUUCGAAAGCGUGGGUAGCAAACAGGAUUAGAAACCCUAGUAGU
rnacentral:rRNA from 1 species